rnacentral:other from 1 species
AACUCCCUGCCGUGUUCGUGAGGCGUACCUGAUAAUUGGUGAACCAACACCAUUAUUAAGGGGGUUUAACUUCGGCAUGCGCAUUGCGCUAGUCGAGAGAGCUCCCACCUGGGAAACCGGGUUCAGCCAUCAAGGACGCUAACGGCACAGUGCGGGGAUUUU